GUAUCAUGGUUCAGGAUGAACGCUAGCUACAGGCUUAACACAUGCAAGUCGAGGGGAAACGACAUCGAAAGCUUGCUUUUUGAUGGGCGUCGACCGGCGCACGGGUGAGUAACGCGUAUCCAACCUGCCCAUCACUUGGGAAUAACCUUGCGAAAGUAAGACUAAUGCCCAAUGAUAUCCCACGAAGGCAUCCGAAUGGGAUUAAAGAUUUAUCGGUGAUGGAUGGGGAUGCGUCUGAUUAG
rnacentral:rRNA from 1 species